rnacentral:rRNA from 1 species
AUACGGAAGGUCCGGGCGUUAUCCGGAUUUAUUGGGUUUAAAGGGAGCGCAGGCGGAGAUGCAAGCGUGACGUCAAAUUUCGGGGCUCAACCCCGUCUCGCGUCGCGAACUGCGUCCCUUGGUUGCGGGAAGGGGAGGCGGAACUCGUGGUGUAGCGGGGAAAUGCAUUGAUAUCACGAAGAACUCCGAUCGCGAAGGCAGCCUUCCGGCCCGUCAACGACGCUCAUGCUCGAAGGUGCGGGUAUCAAACAGGAUUAGAUACCCUGGUAGUCCGCACAGUAAACGAUGGACACCCGCGGUUUGGCCUGUAUGGCUGAGCCGCCAAGCGAAAGCGUUAAGUGUCCCACCUGGGGAGUACGCCGGCAACGGUGAAACUCAAAGGAAUUGACGGGG